GUGGGAGCGGGCUUGCUCGCGAAUGCGGUAUGUCAGUUUGCACAUCUGCGUCUGAUACACCGCAUUCGCGAGCAAGCCCGCUCUCAC
rnacentral:misc_RNA from 1 species